GCCCUCAUUAAGCUCAUAGCGAUGACCUAGUCCACUGGGAAAGAAAAAAUCAAGGAAUAAAUUUCUUUACACAGAAUGGUGCAGCGUUUCCAUGAGGUGUCGUGAUUGUGGAUAUAACUCUCGGGGACGAGCACAUACUAUUCCACGAUAAAAUAUGAGGGAAAAAAAUUGCAAUAAAGACGUGUACUCGUAAAGGUGAAGUAUGCUGCAACAGAAGUACAUCCACCGCCAGUCAUUCUUUAAAUACAUUAGCUGCAGCAACCUGCAAGCGGUAGUUGUUAUGAAAUGUGUCCCGGAGAGCUGCAUCAGUAAUUCAACGGCCAGUGGUGCCAAUCAUGGGUCCUCGUGCCGCGCAGAGGUGGGUGACUCAGGCAAGGCACGCUAAGCUGUGUUAGGUCUAUAAAAUUCGAUUUAAUACAUUCUUUCUUUCAAUUAAAGAUUCAGUACUUUUACAAAUAAGUAAUCAAAGCCAGAUUUUACGUCACAAUUCGUCGCUUACAUGGAGGCUCCUGUAUUAAUUAACAUAGAUGCUAUGACUGUCACCACUCUGCUCCACACAUAUAAUCUUAAAGAAUUAUUAGUCGGUUUACAGAACUAGUAGUCAUAUUAUUAUUUACUGCUGAUUUAUUAUUCCUUGUGAGUUACACAGGGUUACAUAGAGUUACAUAGAAAAGCAGGCCACAACACACCUUGAUAAUAGAAGAAAAGGACAGGAAUGAGAGAGAGAGAGAGAGAGAGAGAGAGAGAGAGAGUGUGUGUGUGUGUGUGUUUACUGCUAUUACAAUCAUGAUACAUGCAUAUUUGUUUACAGAGCUCAGUACAAUAGCUACGGUCUGUAGAGCUUGGUCUGUGUGUGUGUGUGUGUGUGUGUGUGUGUGUGUGUGUGUGUGUGUGUGUUGGAGGGAAAGGAGUGAAAGAGUGAAAGAGGCGUGUGAACAGGAAAUAACUCUUUGUUUGCUUACUAUAUAAGCUUUUGUAUAGCUGGACAUCUUUCGAGGAACAGAGAAAGCAGAGAAAACCAGUGAGUGGGGGCAAGUUAUCACCGCAAGUCAGCUCACACACAACUCGCCUCCUCAAGGCCGCCACACAGCAACCCCCAAGGCUCACCGUGACGUGCGCUACCAAGAACACAUAAAAAUCCAUCACCCUGUACUUCAUAAUAUAUCAGCCUGUUACAACACGUUUCAGUUCUUACAUCUUCACUUGUAAAUAUGAUUAUAGAAACGAAUGCAGGAACAUUUAAGAAACAAACAUCGACAUUUUAAAAUUCUCCUCAUAAAGACAGUUCCAAGAGGCAACAAACAACAACAAUAGUAAUAAUAAUAAUAAUAAUAAUAAUAAUAAUAAUAAUAAUAAUAAUAAUGGCAGUAAUGACGGCGAUAAGAAAACACCGCGAAUGAGCUGUUUUUCUUAUUGAUGUGUGUGUGUGUGUGUGUGUGUGUGUGUGUGUGUGUGUGUGUGUGUGUGUGUGUGUGUGUGUGUGUGUGUGUGUGUGUGUGGGAGGGGGGGGCUUGCAUAUUAUCAACAAGAUCCCAGAGAGAGAGAGAGAGAGAGAGAGAGAGAGAGAGAGAGAGAGAGAGAGAGAGAGAGAGAGAGAGAGAGAAUAAAAAGAGAAAGAUAUGAAAGAGAGGGAGGGAAACAUUAAGGUACAUAAAUAAAUUUCAAUAAUCGUUUUCAUCCGGGCUUCAUAGACACUUCAACCUCGAGACUUGACACGCCCUCAACACAUCAUUCCUUUCCUCAAAGUGCACGUAAGAACACCUAAUUCAUUCUUUGCAUUGUACCUUUGUAGAAAAUUGAAGUGGAAGAAGCAGGUGAAUGUAAUGUUCAGAGCAGCAAGGGUGUAUACAGGAGGCAGCAAGACAACAGGCUCGGUGGAAAGAAGAAUUUUGCUUGCAGAGAAGUAGCCGUUAACUUUUUGGGGCAUUGCGACUAAUGUGUGUUAUCAAUUCCCACGCUUUCUUUUUUUUUUUUUUUAUUCCAUUUUGGAAAAUACUACUUUCUUCUCUGGCCUGUGUGAUGGAGAAACCACCCUGAAAUAUUAGUGUUACAUUCAGAACAGCUGUAACAGAGGUCUCACUCCAUGUUACUAUCUGUUACAGAAAUAAAAUCUUAUUUAAUCCGUCUUUCACAGUAAAAGUACACUUUGGUAUUCAAUGAUGAAUCCAAUCCUUCUCUCAACUGCAGUUCACCGGAAUUCUUUCUUGUUCCCCUUUCAUGUUCACUUUAAAAGAAUACCAGACAAAUUUGUGGGUGAGGAUAUGUAGAAAUAGGUUAGCAUAGGAAGAAAUAGGUUACAGGGAGUGCCACGAAUAGGCCUGUAGGCUUCUUGCAGCUUCCCUGAUUUUCAAUGUUAUGUUCUUAUGGAAACCUACCAUCACAAUUAGAGAUCGGAACACAAUCUCUGCCUACACUGACAUAACAGGGCCGGCAUGGCACGUCGGGGAUUAUGCCGGGUUCGUGUCCAGUUAUUGUGGUGAUAGGGAUUGGGGGUAGUAGUGAUUUUGUUAACUGCAGUGGGUCCUGGAAAAACUAUGGACGCAGAGGACGAAGAUGGAAGAUGGUAAUUUGUUGCAAAUUCCUCAAGUGAUUCAGGGACUGAUUUUUGGCCAGGUGCUGGUUGAGGGUUGAGUAAUUCAUGCAUGAAGAAGUGGCUGGUGGGACUGUAGCUGACGACACUCAAUGGAGUGUCGUAUGUUCCGACACUGGAUCGCCUUCGUCUUUCUGAAGGGAUAAUUUCGUUCUUCAUCUGUACAUUUUGCAGUAGGUUUUCUUCGUUAUUGUAGCUUUUCUUUUCGUCUUUGUUUUCGUUUCCAAAUGAAGGGCGGGGAGAGUGGGAAGAGUGUAAAGACUGUAGCAAGCUGGAGCCUUUGGCAAGGCCUGGCGAGGAUGGCUUGUGGUGAGGGCUGAGGGGCAGCGGCAGGACGUGCGGUAUGCUGGUGAGGGAGACGCUGGGAGGCGAGUUUCGUGAAGCAAGAUAAUGGCGCACUGAAAGACUGGAGUCCGGGACGCGGCGCUCCUCGUCCAGACGUAUGACAGGAGUGGCAGGAAGCGACGUCCACCAGGGUAAGCCAGUGAGGGAGUGGGUGCUGGGAAGGGCGAUUGCCGCCCCCGCCGACACUGCCCACGCCGUCAAACUACCUGGGAAAAUUCAUGUUUGUUUGUGCAUGUAAAAGGGAAAUAAUAUAAAGAUAGGUGUAUGAAAUUAAAUAAUUUCUUGAUGUAUCCUUUCAUUCAUUACUUCAUCAGUUUUGGAGUCACACAGAGACAAACGCACACACACACACACACACACACACACACACACACACACACA